GAGGAGCCAGGGGAUGUUGUUUUAAACAAUAAUCGUAAUUGUAAAAAAAAAAGACAUCCCUGCUGGCAGAGGCUCUCUUGGUUCUCUAGACAAGGGACAGCCUUGCUAAAAAAAAAUUUUAUGCUCUCAGAAGAAACCACCAGUCCAGGACUUUGUGACAGAAGGGGGUUUUAUUCCCCCAUAUGCACAGCAGCCUAACAAAAUUCAAGAAAUAAGAAUUAACAACCCAUAAAAUGUAAAAACCCAUUGUGGAAAAAAGUAGCAAAGAGGAACCAAGGCUCACAAAGUUGCAGAUUUUCUUCUAUGUUUGUUUCAACCUGAGAAGAAAAGAUGAUAAAGAUAAAAAAGAAAACACAUUAAAAACACAUGUACAACAUUGUAUUAUAAAACCCCUGAUCUGAACAAAAGUAGUUAAGCCUGCUAUAUAAGGUUAUUGUGUGUUAUUUAAUGUUAUUAAAGGAUAAUCCAUAUAAUAAAAAUGAUAUUUCCCUCAUAGGAACUAGCAAAACUGUUUUUACUUAAUUGUUUUUUUAUUACAUAGACAUUUACCUACCGACUCUACCUAUGCUGUUUCUCCUGCCUGAUCAGAAGCUGUUUAACUGGCUCUAAUAUAAUCACACAUCGGUGCUGUUAAUUAAUGAUGAAAACUAAUAAAAACUACCAAGAUAAAUACUACACAGUGUUCUAUAAAUUACUCUGUACACUUGCGCAACAGGCUCAAUCCAGCAUCUAGUUUUUUUAGGGUGUAUCAUUUCACUCUCUGUUCCAAACUCUAAUCAGAAAUAUUGACCUCUUUCUGAAAAUAGAAUGUGUGUAGAAGAUGUAUUUUUUAAACUAUUUUAAUUUA